AAGUGUCUGAGCCUCCCCCGCGCAGGGCGCGCCCCGCACGCUUAUCCUGCCCCGGAGCAGCGCAGGGACCCAGCCCUCGCUCCACAGCCGCUGCGAGAUGCUGCGCUCCACGUCCACUGUCACCCUGCUCUCAGGUGGCAGCGCUAAGUCGCCUGGGACGCCCAGUAGGCGGGCAAAUGUCUGCAGACUGCGGCUGACUGUGCCUCCUGAGAGUCCAGUGCCCCAGCAAACAGAAAAGAAGAUUGAGAGGAAAGACCAGCCUCCAGAACUAAGCAAUGGAGAGUCCACCAGGAAGCUUCCUCAGGGUGUUGUCUAUGGUGUGGUGCGAAGAUCAGAUCCCAACCAGCAGAAGGAAAUGGUUGUGUAUGGCUGGUCCACCAAUCAGCUGAAAGAAGAGAUGAACUACAUCAAAGACGUGAGGGCCACUUUGGAGAAGGUGAGGAAGCGGAUGUAUGGAGACUAUGAUGAGAUGAGGCAGAAGAUUCGCCAGCUCACCCAGGACCUGUCGGUUUCCCAUGCUCAGCAGGACUACCUAGACAGUCACAUCCAAGCGCAGUCGUCAGCCCUGGAUAGCUUCAACGCCAUGAACUCAGCAUUGGCAGCGGACUCUGUUGGCCUGCAGAAAACCCUUGUGGAUGUGACUUUGGAAAAUAGCACCAUCAAGGAUCAAAUCAGACAUUUGCAGCAGACCUAUGAAGCAUCCAUGGACAAACUUCGGGAGAAGCAGAGGCAGCUAGAGGCUGCUCAAAUGGAGAACCAGCUGCUGAAAAUGAAGGUGGAGUCGUCUCAGGAAGCCAACGCCGAGGUGAUGCGGGAGAUGACGAGGAAGCUGUACAGCCAGUAUGAGGAGAAGCUGCAGGAGGCGCAGCGCAAGCACAGUGCGGAGAAGGAGGCGCUCCUGGAAGAAACCAACAGCUUUCUGAAAGCGAUCGAAGAGGCCAAUAAAAAGAUGGAGGCAGCUGAGCUCAGCCUGGAGGAGAAAGACCAGAGGAUCGGGGAGCUGGACAGGUUGAUUGAGCGAAUGGAGAAGGAACGGCAUCAACUCCAGCUCCAGCUCCUGGAACAUGAAACAGAAAUGUCGGGGGAGAUUGCAGAUUCUGACAAGGACAGGUACCAGCAGCUGGAGGAGGCAUCCGCCAGCCUCCGGGAGCGGAUCCGACACCUGGAUGACAUGGUGCAUUGCCAGCAGAAGAAGGUCAAGCAGAUGGUUGAGGAGAUUGAAUCAUUAAAGAAAAAAGUGCAGCAGAAGCAGCUCCUAAUAUUGCAGCUUUUAGAAAAAAUCUCUUUCCUGGAAGGAGAGAACAAUGAACUACAGAGCAGGUUGGACUAUUUGACAGAAACCCAGCCCAAGACUGAAGUGGAGACCAGAGAAAUUGGAGUGAGCUGCGACCUUCUACCCAGUCUCCUGUCCUGCUGCUUCUCCUCCAGCUCCUCUUUGGGUGGCAUUCAUUUCUAGUGAGCAAGGAUCUAUCUCAUCAUGGAAUGAAAACAUGAGGAGGGACUCACUCCCCACAGGCAGGACCCGUGAAAUCACGCUGCCUUCCAGGAGUUACACCCCGUACACCAGAGUCCUGGAGUUAACCUCAAAGAAAACGCUGACCUAGGCACUCAGACACGUGCUUCUUGCAAAUGCUGGAAGGCUCUGGAACCCCGUGACUUAAAAGUCUGGAGAGCAUGAGGAUUGCUCACGGUGUAAGCCAGAAUGGGAAUCUCAGGCAAGUGGAGGCAGAAAGAGCAAGCAAGGUCAUGGACAUGAGGUCGUCUUUCAGACACACCAACCCUGCUAUACAGAAUCAUCGUUUGUUUUCCAUGUGGAUGCUGAAGACCAGGUUUCACAGUCUGUUUUGUUUUACUGGAUUUUAGUUUGGAGGGGAAGGGGCAUUAAUUAGAAACUUCAUGUUUGUUACAGCAUAAAGGUUUUGUUUACCCAUAAAGUAUUAGCAGCAGUAUUCCUCCCAUGGAGAAGCCUGUGCACAUGUAGCAUGGGCACCUGGAAAAACUUGAACCUGGAGGGAAGGAGUCCCAGCAUGCACUGCUCUCUACUCUGGUUGGGAAGAUGGGUGCCUGGUUGGGGGAGCCUCGUGUAAAGACUUGUGAGUGCCAGAGUAGCUGCAUUCUGAUUCACCGAUUCCUUGUUUUAACGUGUGCCUUAUGCCUUGAUUGGACCACCUGAGCUCACUGUAUUUAUUCAAGCUGUGAUUUUUGUCUUUCUCACUUUAACUUAAAAAGACUUUUGUAUGUUGUGGCAUUUAGUCAUUUCAUGUUUAAGGAACAAUUGAUAUUUUUGUUAAAUGGAUGAGGAGUCUAUUCACGCACGCUUUCUUUAAUAUUAAAGCCCACAUCACAUAUAUUUAAUAAAUGACUUCUAUUUUGUUCUAA